CUUCGGCCCGAGUUGUAAUUUGCAGAGGAUGUUUAUGGUGCGGUACCUUCCGAGUUCCCUGGAACGGGACGCCACAGAGGGUGAGAGCCCCGUCUGGUUGGAUACCAAACCUGUGUUAAACUCCUUCAACGAGUCGAGUAGUUUGGGAAUGCUGCUCUAAAUGGGAGGUAAAUCUCUUCUAAAGCUAAAUACUGGCCAGAGACCGAUAGCGCACAAGUAGAGUGAUCGAAAGAUGAAAAGCACCUUGAAAAGGGGGUUAAACAGUACGUGAAAUUGUUGAAAGGGAAGCGUUUAUGACCAGACUUGUGUCGUGUGGCUCAUCCGAGGUUUUCCCCGGUGCACUCCACGCGGCUCAGGCCAACAUCGGUUCUCGUUGGGGGAUAAGAACAGUAGGAACGUAGCUCCUCUCGGGGAGUGUUAUAGCCUGUUGUACGAUACUCUGACGGGGACCGAGGACCGCGCUUCGGCUAGGAUGUUGGCGUAAUGGUCAUUAGCGACCCGUCUUGAAACACGGACCAAGGAGUCGUCCAUUAGAGCGAGCGUUUGGGUGUAAAACCCGCACGCGUAAUGAAAGUGAAAUUAGGUGAGAGCUUCGGCGCAUCAUCGACCGAUCCUGAAGUUUACGGAUGGAUUUGAGUAAGAGUUUUAACGGACGGACCCGAAAGACAGUGAACUAUGCUUGAAUAGGGUGAAGCCAGAGGAAACUCUGGUGGAGGCUCGCAGCGGUUCUGACGUGCAAAUCGAUCGUCAAAUUGAGCAUGGGGGCGAAAGACUAAUCGAAC
rnacentral:rRNA from 1 species